AUGACUCUUUCCCUGAUUCUUUUUUCAUUUUGGAAUCUAAAGGACAAUAAUUUUAUUAUUGACAUAUAUUUACUUGAUCUUGAACGAUCUGCUCUGCUGCACUUAUACAUAUAUGUGCAUUGGGUUCUGUUCAGAGAAGUUUGGAUCUAUACUUUUAUGAGCAGUCCACUACACGAUCUCUUCGUAUCUAUUAUUUGUCGAUCUACCAACAAUUUCUUAAUUAAAGAAGGAAGAAUGGAUGAAGCAGAAGAUUACUUAAGUUCAGUAAAGGCAUCCAAUACUGCCCCCUUGAUGGUCAGAAUCAUUGCCACAUGA
rnacentral:rRNA from 1 species